CAUCUGGAAGCUCUGAGGAGCUCCAGGGGGACUUCGGGAAGGAGAAAGCAUCACUCGGAAGUGUUGGAGCCAAGCAUUGCAGAUUGCCUCUCCCACAGCACCAUUUGUCCCCUGCUGGAUUCCCAUUGCCUAGAACAGGAGUGGGGGACGUCUGGUCCAUGGGUCGCUUAAGGUCUGAGGACUCAUUUGGUCUGGCCUGCCAAGGCAUUAGGGAAAAACUGUUUGGAGGAAAAACCAGAUGAUGACAGUGGAGGGGGGUGUGAAUGACCUCAGCCAGUAGCGGUUCCAUCACU